AAAUCAAAAAACCUCGAAGUAGUGUAGCCAGUCGACAGUUGUACACUGGACAUGCUAAGGUUGGAUACAAAAUGUAGUGCCCAUAAUAUUCGACAAACACUACUAACAGCCGUGAAACGAAAAACUGAGCAGUCCUCUUGUUGUUCUAACUGAGGAGAAGUGGCAGAAUGAGGGCAAAUGAUAGUGUAUAACUUCUUCCAGCAGGUGUCCCCCCUAAAGAUCCCAGAGACAAGGACAUGCCUGUCCAUGUCAUCAGUUAACAUAUAGACUCAAAUUCUCCUAGACUUUCACCACGUAAUAUCCCAUCAUCAGCCGCCAAAUCCUGACCACCGACCCAUAGAGAAAAAGAAUCAACAGAAAUGGGGACCCAGAAACCUGGCAUCACUGGC